rnacentral:lncRNA from 1 species
GGGUCAUUAAGCGUUGUUCUUUAGCUUUCUUCCUGUGGCGAGUCACAUGGAAACUCAUGUUGUCUUAAGGCACCAUGAUAAUGAUGAUGGUUGAUGUCGGCAUCAUAGUGCCCCCACACAUCCUCCCAAAUACAGCUCAUUACAUCAUUGAUUCCACCAACUCUAAGACAAUUCCAAAGUACCUCUCUCUCUCUCUUAUUGAUCUUUGUGUGAACCCAAAUCAAUGAGAUCUGAUACUUGGUAACUUCCACUAAAAAGUUAUGUGAUGCCCAUCAUGGAUUUGUGCACAGAUUGUAAGGUAAUCGAAUUCAUAAACAGUCUGAUGAAUGAUGAUAUACAUACAAGCACAUAUAGAAACAGAUGGUUACAUUAAGAAUAACACAAUACUCUGUACAAAAUAGAAUCAAAUCACACACAAACUCAUGAACAAAACAAUAAAACUAAUGGAGAAAAAAAUGAAAUGUUUGUUUUGACUCAAAAGAGAAGACCAGAUGCCAAAGCGACAACAGAUGCAAACAAUGCCGGCACGAACAUGGCAGCAUCAGAAGUUGGGCUUGGAGCCGGA